UACGUAGGGAGCAAGCGUUGUUCGGAUUUACUGGGCGUAAAGGGCGCGUAGGCGGCAAAUUAAGUCAGCUGUGAAAUCUCCGAGCUUAACUCGGAACGGUCAGCUGAUACUGAUCUGCUAGAGUGCGGAAGGGGCAAUCGGAAUUCUUGGUGUAGCGGUGAAAUGCGUAGAUAUCAAGAGGAACACCUGAGGUGAAGACGGGUUGCUGGGCUGAUACUGACGCUGAGGCGCGAAAGCUAGGGUAGCAAACGGG
rnacentral:rRNA from 1 species